GGGUGAUUAGCUCAGCUGGGAGAGCACCUCCCUUACAAGGAGGGGGUCGGCGGUUCGA
rnacentral:tRNA from 1 species